rnacentral:rRNA from 1 species
UAGGGAAUCUUCGGCAAUGGACGAAAGCCUGACCGAGCAACGCCGCGUGAGUGAAGAAGGUUUUCGGAUCGUAAAACUCUGUUGUUAGAGAAGAACAAGGACGUUAGUAACUGAACGUCCCCUGACGGUAUCUAACCAGAAAGCCACGGCUAACUACGUCCCAGCAGCCGCGGUAAUACGUAGGUUGCAAGCGUUGUCCGGAUUUAUUGGGCGUAAAGCGAGCGCAGGCGGUAUCUUAAGUCUGAUGUUAAAGCCCCCGGCUCAACCGGAGAGGGUCAGUGGAAACUGGGAGACUUGAGUGCAGAAGAGGAGAGUGGAAUUCCAUGUGUAGCGGUGAAAUGCGUAGAUAUAAGGAGGAACACCAGUGGCGAAGGCGGCCCUCUGGUCUGUAACUGACGCUGAGGCUCGAAAGCGUGGGGAGCAAACAGG